rnacentral:rRNA from 1 species
UACGUAGGCAGCAAGCGUUGUUCGGAGUUACUGGGCGUAAAGGGUGUGUAGGCGGUUGUUUAAGUUUGGUGUGAAAUCUCCCGGCUCAACUGGGAGGGUGCGCCGAAUACUGAAUGACUAGAGUGCGGGAGAGGAAAGUGGAAUUCCUGGUGUAGCGGUGAAAUGCGUAGAUAUCAGGAGGAACACCGGUGGUGUAGACGGCUUUCUGGACCGUAACUGACGCUGAGACACGAAAGCGUGGGGAGCAAACAGG